rnacentral:rRNA from 1 species
UACGUAGGUGGCGAGCGUUGUCCGGAAUUAUUGGGCGUAAAGCGCGCGUAGGCGGGAUAUUAAGUCUAUUCUAAAAGUGCGGGGCUCAACCCCGUAAUGGGAUGGAAACUAAUAUUCUUGAGUACCGGAGAGGAAAGCGGAAUUCCCAGUGUAGCGGUGAAAUGCGUAGAUAUUGGGAGGAACACCAGUGGCGAAGGCGGCUUUCUGGACGGUGUCUGACGCUGAGGCGCGAAAGCCAGGGGAGCGGAA